rnacentral:rRNA from 1 species
CGCAGCCGCGGGAAUACAGAGGGUGCGAGCGUUAAUCGGAUUUACUGGGCGUAAAGCGUGCGUAGGCGGCUUCUUAAGUCGGAUGUGAAAUCCCUGAGCUUAACUUAGGAAUUGCAUUCGAUACUGGGAAGCUAGAGUAUGGGAGAGGAUGGUAGAAUUCCAGGUGUAGCGGUGAAAUGCGUAGAGAUCUGGAGGAAUACCGAUGGCGAAGGCAGCCAUCUGGCCUAAUACUGACGCUGAGGUACGAAAGCAUGGGGAGCAAACAGGAUUAGAUACCCCAGUAGUCCCUGUCUCUUAUACC